AGCAGUGAGCUCAAAGGUGGUUGACACGACUUGUCUCCAUGCAUCCGAAGCUAUUAACCAGGUGUAAAGCAACAUGGCCAACCAGCAGAACGGGAACAACCACUCCCUGCUGUCAGCGUGACACACGAUGGGAUCGCACACAACAGUGGCGGCAUCUACUGAGGCGCUUACCCACUUUCUAUGGGCUGGAUGGCACAUUCUGUGCUGAAGCUGCUGCCUCUCCCAGGGCACGAGCGCACCCAGGAAACAAGAACUGUGCAGAGCCAAGGUCUGAUUUCUUUGUUGAUGUCUUGUAACCAGAAAACAGAAAUUAGAUCCUUGCCCAGAUCUGUCUAUCAUGGAGUUUUUGUGCCAGCAAGUGCUUUGCAGUGAAGAGCAAACAAAUUAACUGCUUCACAUAUCACGAACUGUCAACCCUAAAGUCGGGGUAAAAGUUUCAUAGCCCUGUAGUAGCCCUGUGGUGACGUCACUUGCCACUCUCAGAUGUUAGCAGAAAAAAACUUGCUUGUAUUUUUUAAUAUUUCUAAUAUUAGUCUUGCUAUUGGUUUAUGUUCAGUUUGAAUCUUGAGGAAGGCAUAGGGUUUUGGAAACAAUUAUAAUGAAUGACACCAUUUUCAGAAGAGGAACUGGAGUCCAGAAAGAGGAAGCGAGUUAGUUGCUUUAGGUCACCCGGGAAUUGAGAGCUUUGCCCAGUCUUCCACGGCAGAGAUACAUCCUGAAUUCUGGUUUGGCAGUGGUAGGCCAACAGCACACAGCACUGAAGUUGAAUUUCUCAGUUCCACCGAGCAAAGUCUUCUUAGCCCUAACCAGAUCACAAGUGGCAGAAAGUGAACCUCCCCCUUUACUGGAGCACAUUGCAACAGUGGGUGUGGUCUGAGAGCAGAGCCUUUGCAGUGAACCCCGAAGUCUUUGAGUUCUCUGAAUUAACACUCCAGCUCGCUAGCCAGUCUUGUUCCCUCCAAAGCAAGUUACCCACUUUCUUGCAGACCACUGUCUGCUGGCAGAGUUGUCAUGGUCCAUGUGUUCCUGGGUUGUCCCAGAUAGUUACAAAAACAUCAUUGGAAGAUAAAAUAGGUGUGCAUCGGAAGACAAGUUCUGUAACAAGGAUCCCUUUAUUAAACACUUCAGACACAGCAUGCCUGUGUGAGCUGACAGCAGCAGGAAGAGGAGGCUGCCCAACAGAAGCCAUUGAGGUGCAGCCUGUGAGAAACAGCUCUGAAUUUAUACCAGCAGGAGCCCCUCUCCAGCAGCAAUAGUGCCUAGGGCAGGGCAAUUUAAGGUAUUCAUUCUUCCAUCACCACUGGGGGUGAACCUACACUGCUGGAACCCCUGUUUAGGUGUCCCCUCUUACAGAGCACUGUGGAGGGGAAUCAGAACUUCAUUUGAAAACACCAGUCCUAACAUUCUACCCAAGGGGACCCCGUGCCAUAGUCCUUAAUCCAGUGGUGGCUUCCUCAAGCCUGAAAGAUGCUGUUCUCUGUGAUUCUUGGGACUUGGCAGACUGUGUCCUGGGAGCUCCUGUAGACACAAGGCAAACUUGCUGUGAAGAGUCUGAACUCUCAGCCAAUGGAACCAUGAAAGGUGAUGGGGGAAAGGCAGCAAACCAUAGAAGCCUGAGACCAAUUCACAUCCUAUCUUUAGACCUCGGGGCACACUCUAGCUGUGGGGUGCUGAGUGCAGGCUGAUCAUGUUGAUAUUCUGAAUAUGCUGCAAAGUAACUGUGUGUGUGUGUGUGUGUGUGUGUGUGUGUGUGUGUGUGUGUGUGUGUGUGCCAUGUAGUGUUUGUGUAUCUGGGUGGUAUGUGUUUCUGUAUGUUUAUGUUUGUCUUAUGUAUGUGUGGCGUAUUUGGGAGUUUGUGCCAUGUGUACAUGGCCUGUGUGCACUUCUGUAGUGUAAAUUCUGUUGCAUGUUUACUGGUGUGACAUGAAGAGUGUGGGUGUUGUGACUCAGUGCGGUGUGUGCUUGAGGGUGUGAAUGGGCUCUGAAUGAUGAACUGAAGCAAAACAAUGAAGACCAGAAGAAAGCAAAUGAAGCGAAGUUGGGAACAGGGGGAGAAAUCUAACGACUCUUAGUAUCCUGUUAAUUUAUACUACGGCUCUGUACAAAAAUAAAAAGGUUCUCAUAAGAUCAUCUAUUUAAAUAAAUAUUCAAU
ensembl:antisense Gm4524 predicted gene 4524